GGCCUCAGGGGAAACCAGCCCUGCUCACACCUGGACCUUGGGCUUCCAGCUCCCAGGACUGUGGGGAAAUGAAAUUCUGUUGAAGCCACCCAGGCUGCGGCAUUUGGUUAUGGCAGCCCUAGCAACGGAAUCUACUUUGUAAGGAAGAAUGACUUCAUCGGGUAGUUCCAGCGAUGGCUUGGGGACAUUUUGAGGGCUUUCAAGUCCCUGCUGUGGACAAUCUGCAUGUGACAGCUGAGACAGGAGGAAGAGGCCCAAGGGAACGCAUUCCUGCUAGGACAGAGCUGGCUGGCUGCACAGUGGAGAGUGUUUGCUGGAAGCUGCUACCAGCCAUGGGGCACCUACCCGCCCAGCGGCCCUUGCAUCCAGAUGCAGAGCCCUGGACAAAGGACGGAGCUGUGAAAACAGUGCCUGGAGGAUCUGAUCCCUUCUAGCAAGGCCAAGAGACACGGCUGGGCUGGGGAGGACGGGGUCUCCAGGCCUCACCAUGGCCACUUAUCUAGACGCCAGCAUCAAAAGGUUCAAAGCCCAGGUCACAGGCUCAUGAAAAAAUUAAGCAGGAUUGGACUUUCCCAGGAUGACCAGGUCGCAAGGGUUGAGAUGACAAAAUCCCCUUAUGGAUGGGACUUCUUGGUCCUGGGUUCCCUUGACUGUGGCUUCCAGAAGAGAAGAGCUUUGGAGUCCUGCUGAGAGUGCCAAAACUGUGGGGGCCAAGAGAUAACUCUCCCUUCACCCUCUGAAGUUUCACUGAAACAUCAACCGACAAAAAGCAGAUUAAUAGGAGAAAUGGCAUACGAAUGUGUUAAGGUGCGUGGAGGGAAUAUCACAGAGUGGUUACCCCAACCCCUCAAUGGUGUACAGAGCUUAUAUACCAUCCUGAGCUUCCAAAAA
rnacentral:lncRNA from 10 species